AUUCAAACUCCAAGAUACGUAUGUAGAUGCUUGAGUGGAAUGUUUUCGGACGCGGGUUCGACUCCCGCCGCCUCCACCA
rnacentral:tmRNA from 1 species